rnacentral:rRNA from 1 species
UACAUGGGGUGCAAACGUUGCUCGGAAUCAUUGGGCGGAAAGCGCGCGUAGGCGGUUACUUAAGUUGGAUGUGAAAGCCCUCGGCUUAACUGAGGAAGUGCAUCCAAAACUGAGUAGCUAGAGUACGAAAGAGGGUCGCGGAAUUCCCGGUGUAGAGGUGAAAUUCGUAGAUAUCGGGAGGAACACCGGUGGCGAAGGCGGCGACCUGGGUCGAGACUGACGCUGAGGCGCGAAAGCGUGGGGAGCAAACAGG